rnacentral:rRNA from 1 species
AUUGAACGCUGGCGGCAGGCCUAACACAUGCAAGUCGAACGAGUGGCGGACGGGUGAGUAAUGCCUGGGAAUCUAGCUUAUGGAGGGGGAUAACUACGGGAAACCGUAGCUAAUACCGCUUACCAUAGGAUGAGCCCAAGUGGGAUUAGGUAGUCGGUGGGGUAAAGGCUCACCAAGCCGACGAUCUCUAGCUGGUCCGAGAGGAUGACCAGCCACACUGGGACUGAGACACGGCCAAGACUCCUACGGGAGGCAGCAGUAGGGAAUAUUGCGCAAUGGGGGCAACCUGACGCAGCCAUGCCGCGUGAAUGAAGAAGGCCUUCGGGUUGUAAAGUUCUUUCGGUAGCGAAGCGUUAGCUACAGAAAAAGCACCGGCUAACUCCGUGCCAGCCGCCGCGGUAAUUC